AAGCUUCUAUAAAAAAUCUAAUUUUAAUCUCCAUCAAACACUCUCAUAGACUCAUUUUCUCUCCAUUUUCUUUUGCUUUGUUUCAUUAUUUUGUUCUGUUUAGGAUAGAUUCAUCUCUAUAGAUGCUAUUGUUGCUAUUUUUGCAGUGGAAAAGAGAAUGAGUUUGGGCAGGAAGGUGAUUACAUGCUAUCCAAUCCAUAUCACUUGCUUGGAGUUUUCUCUUCACAGGUUUUUCAGGAGUCUCCUCGAGAGAAGAUAUGGAAGAGGAAACACUCUCCCAUAUAUGAAAUGGAGAAACAUUGCAAUAUUGAAAUUGCUGCACAGAUCUCUCGUGUCUCCUCCAUGCACCAUGGUACUUGAGCUUUAUAAAGCAUG